rnacentral:rRNA from 1 species
AUUGAACGCUGGCGGCGGGCUUAACACAUGCAAGUCGAGCGGGGGAAGGUAGCUUGCUACCGGACCUAGCGGCGGACGGGUGAGUAAUGCUUAGGAAUCUGCCUAUUAGUGGGGGACAACAUUCCGAAAGGAAUGCUAAUACCGCAUACGUCCUACGGGAGAAAGCAGGGGAUCUUCGGACCUUGCGCUAAUAGAUGAGCCUAAGUCGGAUUAGCUAGUUGGUGGGGUAAAGGCCUACCAAGGCGACGAUCUGUAGCGGGUCUGAGAGGAUGAUCCGCCACACUGGGACUGAGACACGGCCCAGACUCCUACGGGAGGCAGCAGUGGGGAAUAUUGGACAAUGGGGGGAACCCUGAUCCAGCCAUGCCGCGUGUGUGAAGAAGGCCUUAUGGUUGUAAAGCACUUUAAGCGAGGAGGAGGCUCUUUUGGUUAAUACCCAAGAUGAGUGGACGUUACUCGCAGAAUAAGCACCGGCUAACUCUGUGCCAGCCGCCGCGGUAA